UGUUAGCGGCGGACGGGUGAGUAACACGUGGGUAACCUGCCUGUAAGACUGGGAUAACUCCGGGAAACCGGAGCUAAUACCGGAUAGUUCCUUGAACCGCAUGGUUCAAGGAUGAAAGACGGUUUCGGCUGUCACUUACAGAUGGACCCGCGGCGCAUUAGCUAGUUGGUGGGGUAAUGGCUCACCAAGGCGACGAUGCGUAGCCGACCUGAGAGGGUGAUCGGCCACACUGGGACUGAGACACGGCCCAGACUCCUACGGGAGGCAGCAGUAGGGAAUCUUCCGCAAUGGACGAAAGUCUGACGGAGCAACGCCGCGUGAGUGAUGAAGGUUUUCGGAUCGUAAAGCUCUGUUGUUAGGGAAGAACAAGUGCGAGAGUAACUGCUCGCACCUUGACGGUACCUAACCAGAAAGCCACGGCUAACUACGUGCCAGCAGCCGCGGUAAUACGUAGGUGGCAAGCGUUGUCCGGAAUUAUUGGGCGUAAAGGGCUCGCAGGCGGUUUCUUAAGUCUGAUGUGAAAGCCCCCGGCUCAACCGGGGAGGGUCAUUGGAAACUGGGAAACUUGAGUGCAGAAGAGGAGAGUGGAAUUCCACGUGUAGCGGUGAAAUGCGUAGAGAUGUGGAGGAACACCAGUGGCGAAGGCGACUCUCUGGUCUGUAACUGACGCUGAGGAGCGAAAGCGUGGGGAGCGAACAGGAUUAGAUACCCUGGUAGUCCACGCCGUAAACGAUGAGUGCUAAGUGUUAGGGGGUUUCCGCCCCUUAGUGCUGCAGCUAACGCAUUAAGCACUCCGCCUGGGGAGUACGGUCGCAAGACUGAAACUCAAAGGAAUUGACGGGGGCCCGCACAAG
rnacentral:rRNA from 1 species